rnacentral:rRNA from 1 species
AGCAGUCGCCACGGGAAUACAGAGGGUGCGAGCGUUAAUCGGAUUUACUGGGCGUAAAGCGUGCGUAGGCGGCUUCUUAAGUCGGAUGUGAAAUCCCUGAGCUUAACUUAGGAAUUGCAUUCGAUACUGGGAAGCUAGAGUAUGGGAGAGGAUGGUAGAAUUCCAGGUGUAGCGGUGAAAUGCGUAGAGAUCUGGAGGAAUACCGAUGGCGAAGGCAGCCAUCUGGCCUAAUACUGACGCUGAGGUACGAAAGCAUGGGGAGCAAACAGGAUUAGAGACCCGCGUAGUCCCUGUCUCUUAUAC